GAACGAAGCACCUCUCCCGUUGAUUGAAGUAGCUUGCUACAGAUUGAAACAAUUGAGGUGACUGAGUGGCGGACGGGUGAGUAACGCGUGGGUAACCUGCCUUGUACAGGGGGAUAACAGUUGGAAACGACUGCUAAUACCGCAUAAGCGCACAGUAUCGCAUGAUACAGUGUGAAAAACUCCGGUGGUACAAGAUGGACCCGCGUCUGAUUAGCUAGUUGGAGGGGUAACGGCCCACCAAGGCGACGAUCAGUAGCCGACUUGAGAGAGUGAUCGGCCACAUUGGGACUGAGACACGGCCCAAACUCCUACGGGAGGCAGCAGUAGGGAAUAUUGCACAAUGGGGGAAACCCUGAUGCAGCGACGCCGCGUGAAGGAUGAAGUAUUUCGGUAUGUAAACUUCUAUCAGCAAGGAAGAAAAUGACGGUACUUGACUAAGAAGCCCCGGCUAAAUACGUGCCAGCAGCCGCGGUAAUACGUAUGGGGCAAGCGUUAUCCGGAUUUACUGGGUGUAAAGGGAGCGUAGGCGGUGCGGCAAGUCAGAAGUGAAAGCCUGGGGCUCAACCCCGGAAUUGCUUUUGAAACUGUCGAACUAGAGUGUCGGAGGGGUAAGCGGAAUUCCUAGUGUAGCGGUGAAAUGCGUAGAUAUUAGGAGGAACACCGGUGGCGAAGGCGGCUUACUGGACGACCACUGACGCUGAGGCUCGAAAGCGUG
rnacentral:rRNA from 1 species